rnacentral:rRNA from 1 species
AUACGUAGGUGACAAGCGUUAUCCGGAUUUACUGGGCGUAAAGGGCGUGUAGGCGGUCUUGCAAGUCAGAAGUGAAAUUCCUGAGCUCAACUCGGGCGCUGCUUCUGAAACUGCAGGACUUGAGUGCUGGAGGGGAUAGCGGAAUUCCUAGUGGAGCGGUAAAAUGCGCAGAUAUUAGGAAGAACACCGGUGGCGAAGGCGGCUAUCUGGACAGUAACUGACGCUGAGGCGCGAAAGCGGGGGGAGCAAACAGGAUUAGAUACCCUGGUAGUCCCCGCCGUAAACGAUGAAUACUAGGUGUAGGGGGUAUCGACUCCCUCUGUGCCGCAGUUAACACAAUAAGUAUUCCGCCUGGGGAGUACGGCCGCAAGGUUGAAACUCAAAUGAAUUGACGGGG